rnacentral:miRNA from 1 species
UAUUGCACACUACCAAGUUGCA